GUGAAGUGGAGCAAAUACUCAAAAAAUUAGUCUCAGUUCGGAUUGCAGGCUGCAACUCGCCUGCAUGAAGUCGGAAUCGCUAGUAAUCGCGGAUCAGCAUGCCGCGGUGAAUACGUUCUCGGGCCUUGUACACACCGCCCGUCACACCAUGGGAGUCGGUAACACCCGAAGUCUGUAGCCUGACGCAAGAGGGCGCAGCCGAAGGUGGGAUUGAUGACUGGGGUGAAGUCGUAACAAGGUAAC
rnacentral:rRNA from 1 species